GCUGCAGGAUGGGUAUAUCUGCGAGGUUUUACUUGUAAUAGAUCCUCCUUCCCUCCCCCAAGUGUGUUUUGCUUAUUGCUAGAGGCAGAUUGUGCUACUGUAGGCUUCGUAUCAUCAAGGACUUUAUUUCCAUGUAACUACGCUUUCAAACUUCUAAAACUUUUUGGAUAAAUACUUUAUUAGGUUUUUAAUUAAAACAUACUUUAUUUAUCACUAUUGUGGGUAUGUGAUGUUCUGUGGAGGCAGGCACAUGCCACAGCAUGUUUGUGGAGAUCAGAGGACAACUUCUUGGAGUUGGUUUCCUUUUCUCUACCUGUGUGUGUUCUAGGGCUCAAACUCAGUCAAGAGGCUUGUGCUGCAAGGGCCUGCAUAGCUGCUGUGCCGUCUCAACCGCCCUUGUGUAAAUUUUACGUCAAGUGUUUUUGAACUGACCCUAAAACGUACAUUCAGGCAAAUUGUCUCCACUAGCAAGAAGUUGCUUUCAUUUAUUUUUUCCCCCUAUGGUAGAUUAAAGUUUGGCAUAAUUAAAGAGGUAAUUACCUUUUUAAACUAGAAUUAUUUAAAAUCCAAACCCCCCAAAAAGAGGCUAAAAGAAGAAGAAAGAGAAGUCAACAGGACGACCGCCCGCUGUUCCCAUGUACCACUUGACUUCUUCUGGUCAACUUGAAAGAGUGAUCAGACUCAGGAGAAUGCUGCCUGGGGUUCAAUCAUGUUCUUUUCAAACCCCAUUUUUCAAACUUCAGACUUUUCUCAUGAUGUGUUAAUUUUGUGGUACACCAAAAUUUAUGAAAAUGUUUAGUUCAAACUCAAUUUGUCUUAGUUGCACCAGCAGCUCUUGCCUGGCGCUCUGCCCGGAGUACUGAUUGCGAAGUCCGCAGAAGCGGCGCAUCAGGCAGAUCUGAAAGGAGCCAUAUAGUGGCCCCCUAAGGAUCUGAAACUCAGCUUCUGUUUUGAUUUUUCCCAACGUGCAGUACAAAGAGUAGCCUUUAGCAGCUGGAGGCACGCCAUUUGAAUAGCCAUUUGUAGCGAGCUGAAUAGCUCCCCUAUGAAAACUAACCCAAGACACAAAAUCAUUCCAGCGCUAACCUGUUUGUUUGCUUGCUUGCUUCCCUGGGAUCAAGAUUGUAAUUAAACAGUGAGGAUAGAUUUUUUAAAUUUUUUUUCUGGGGAUUCAAGCCAAGGCUUUGCAUAUGAUCAGCAGGCACCAGACUGCAGUACUCCCCAGCCCUCCCCAGGCUCCGCACUGACUGUCAAAGGUUGACUUGCACAGAGAUGAACCACUCGCUUAAAGGAUGUGAUGUGGCAAGAGGUUCUCAGCCAGUUGGACUCAGGCUAAUUAUGUAACCUAAAAUGUGCGUGAUGAGGACAGUGUUGAUGGAGUGGGGGGUUGGGGAGUCACGCAUCCCCUCUAGGAUGGAAAUUUCAUAAGUGGCUGUGUGUCAGAGGAUGUCUAACUGAAGAAAGACCCGGAAGGUGCUAAGUCAUUCAUAGUUCACUAUGUUCUUCAGCUGUGCAUGACUCAGAUUAGUGUCUGAUAUCCUUUCCCACUGGCUAUGCACAGGCCAAGUGUCUGGGGGGAACAGCUCCUGUACAACGCUGCUCCGUCUCACCUCUGUACGGCUUGGACAAGGCCAACGGAAGAAGGUUUCCCCCUGCUUCUGCUGUGUGAGGACAUAGUCAAGUGCUGUCUAUGAACCAGAAAGCAUCCUCAUCUGAUCUACUUUGCACUUGGACUUCCUGGCCUCAGAACUGUGAGAAGUAACUAACAUGUCGUCUAAAAGCCACCGGGGGCUGUGGUGCAUCUGUUAGUUGGGACUCGGGGUGUUUUGAUGGUCUAUGGUCGAUCCUUCCAAACGCAUCUCCAUCCCCCACCUCCUUGAGCAGCCUCAGAACCUGGUCCCAUCUUUGGCUUUUCAUCUUCCCCUCCACUGUAUCUACUUUCCCAAUAAACACUGUUACCUUCUUGGCCA